CACGUAGGGCGCAAGCGUUAUCCGGAAUUAUUGGGCGUAAAGAGCUCGUAGGUGUCUGUUGCGUCCGCUGUGAAAUCUCAGGGCUUAACCCUGAGCCUGCAGUGGGUACGGGCAGACUAGAGUGCGGUAGGGGUGACUGGAAUUCCUGGUGUAGCGGUGGAAUGCGCAGAUAUCAGGAGGAACACCGAUGGCGAAGGCAGGUCACUGGGCCGCAAACUGGACGCUGGAGGAGCGAAAGCAUGGGGAGCGAACAGG
rnacentral:rRNA from 1 species